rnacentral:tRNA from 1 species
GGGCGGUUAGCUCAGCGGAAGAGCGCUCGUCUUACACGCGAGGGGUCACUGGUUCGAUCCCAGUACCGCCCACCA